AUUGAACGCCGGCGGCAUGCCUUACACAUGCAAGUCGAACGGUAACAGGUCUUCGGAUGCUGACGAGUGGCGAACGGGUGAGUAAUACAUCGGAACGUGCCUAGUAGUGGGGGAUAACUACUCGAAAGAGUGGCUAAUACCGCAUGAGAUCUACGGAUGAAAGCAGGGGAUCGCAAGACCUUGUGCUACUAGAGCGGCCGAUGGCAGAUUAGGUAGUUGGCGGGAUAAAAGCUUACCAAGCCGACGAUCUGGAGCUGGUCUGAGAGGACGAUCAGCCACACUGGGACUGAGACACGGCCCAGACUCCUACGGGAGGCAGCAGUGGGGAAUUUUGGACAAUGGGCGAAAGCCUGAUCCAGCAAUGCCGCGUGCAGGAUGAAGGCCUUCGGGUUGUAAACUGCUUUUGUACGGAACGAAAAGCCCCGGGUUAAUACCCUGGGGUCAUGACGGUACCGUAAGAAUAAGCACCGGCUAACUACGUGCCAGCCGCCGCGGUAA
rnacentral:rRNA from 1 species